rnacentral:misc_RNA from 1 species
CGCACAUUGCGCCCAUUAGUAUUCUAGUGGGCAUGCCUGUUCGAGCGUCAUUUCAACCCUUAAGCCCUAGUUGCUUAGUGUCGGGAGACUGCCGUAAAACGCAGCUCCUCAGAGUUAGCUGGCAGAGUUAGGUCAUACUCUAGGCGUAGUAAAUCUUUACAUCUCGCUUCUUUGUAGUUGGCCUGGCCCUCGCCAUUAAACACCCCAAUUUUUCUAUGGUUGACCUCGGAUCAGGUAGGAAUACCCGCUGAACUUAA